CAAGUAAACAAACUCAAAUCCUAUUCAGACCAUUCAUGAUUCCAGCAAUAACCAAGUUUUUUCGUAACAAUAAGACUGCAUUUACAAUGCAAAUCUUAAUGCACAGAUCAUAUUUUUUUGACUAUAUUCAUUUUUUGUUCUGAUCUUUUUAUAUUUACAUAAGACACUAUUCAUAUCUGAUAUCGGUGUUACAAUAAUUUGCAAAACUACAGUUAAUAUGAGUGUCAUGAUUUGCACUUGAGUUUUGUAUCGACUUAAGCCAGGGUCACUGCCAAUUUAGGCAUGUUUUAAUUAUGACACUUAAACAAUUGUAUAUGUACUUCGAUAAAGGUUUUUGCAAUCAUGGAAACAUAAGUGAAUCGCAGACAGCAUUCUUCUUUUACGAAUGUAAAAUGGCUGGAGUAGUGAUGUCACUAGCUAAAUUAAUUUUCAUUUGACCUCCCCCACAGAAAGACACAGCACAUCAUUAUAUCGUUGGCUCCGCCCACUGGUGUUCAGUCUAAAGUAGUAGUUGUUGACAAUCAUAAAGUUGUAAUAACAGUAAGAUUGUGAUGUCAGACAAACAUUGUGCUGUUGCUGGCUGUGGGAAAUUAGUGUCUUUGUAAGGGUCGCAAAUAAUUUGAAAAUAUUUAUGUUUCUAAAUAUGCCCCCCUACCAUGAACUAAACUGGACUGUUGCAGAGACCAAGUGUAGUAGGGUACACUACUAUGCAGAAUUCUGGCCUGGUGUUUGGUCCCCCCUUUCUCUGGCUUGUGUCUCCAUCAUCAUUACACUCUUGUCAGUGUAAUAGUAUCGUCGUCUGCAUACCAGGACUUUGUUACUCAGCUGUCCCUUCUCCUUCAAGCUACAUUUUUGUCAAGCUGCAACAAGUUGGAAUACAUAAUUAUUAACGUUUAAUGAUUUUGAUGUAUGAAAUAUGUAACAAAAGCAAAAAAUGUAUAGACAUUCUAUUAAGAAAUUACCUUUUUGUUGUUUGUUUACUGACCUUUCAACCAUAUUGCAUUUAUAAUUGAUCAUCAUACCUUUGGUCUACUGUUAACAGGUUACUGUAGAAAACAAAGUCAAACAAAAAAGAGAGAAAAAAAUUAUAAAUGCUGAAUGUGUCUCAUCUUAAAUACAUUGUUGUUGUUUUUGUUUCA